AGAGUUUGAUCCUGGCUCAGAACGAACGCUGGCGGCAGGCUUAACACAUGCAAGUCGAACGCGUCCUUCGGGACGAGUGGCAGACGGGUGAGUAACGCGUGGGAACCUACCUCAUGGUGCGGAAUAACUCGAGGAAACUUGAGCUAAUACCGCAUGUGCCCUUCGGGGGAAAGAUUUAUCGCCAUGGGAUGAGCCCACGUCCUAUUAGCUAGUUGGUAGGGUAAUGGCCUACCAAGGCGACGAUCCGUAGCUGAUCUGAGAGGAUGAUCAGCCACACUGGGACUGAGACACGGCCCAGACUCCUACGGGAGGCAGCAGUGGGGAAUCUUGGACAAUGGGCGCAAGCCUGAUCCAGCCAUGCCGCGUGAGUGAUGAAGGCCCUAGGGUUGUAAAGCUCUUUCACCGGAGAAGAUAAUGACGGUAUCCGGAGAAGAAGCCCCGGCUAACUUCGUGCCAGCAGCCGCGGUAAA
rnacentral:rRNA from 1 species